AAGUUCUUUAAAAUUGAGACAGUACUUUAGGAGAUUAACGCAGAAGGGUGAAGGAUGCCUCAUAAAUCUCAGAGACAAAACUGAACAGUUCCUGUUGGAUCAUGUCUAUUGUCACAUUC
ensembl:snoRNA